rnacentral:tRNA from 1 species
GGGCCGCUAGCUCAUCAGGUAGAGCAACAGCCUUUUAAGCUGUGGGUGCUGGGUUCGAGUCCCAGGCGGCCCA